rnacentral:rRNA from 1 species
GACGAACGCUGGCGGCGUGCCUAAUACAUGCAAGUCGAGCGGACCGAACGAGGGCUUGCUCUUGUUUGGUCAGCGGCGGACGGGUGAGUAACACGUGGGCAACCUGCCCGCAAGACCGGGAUAACUCCGGGAAACCGGAGCUAAUACCGGAUAACACCGAAGACCGCAUGGUCUUCGGUUGAAAGGCGGCCUUUGGGCUGUCACUUGCGGAUGGGCCCGCGGCGCAUUAGCUAGUUGGGUAGGUAACGGCUCACCAAGGCGACGAUGCGUAGCCGGCCUGAGAGGGUGACCGGCCACACAGGGACUGAGACACGGCCCAGACUCCUACGGGAGGCAGCAGUAGGGAAUCUUCCGCAAUGGGCGAAAGCCUGACGGAGCGACGCCGCGUGAGCGAAGAAGGCCUUCGGGUCGUAAAGCUCUGUUGUGAGGGACGAAGGAGCGCCGUUCGAAGAGGGCGGCGCGGUGACGGUACCUCACGAGAAAGCCCCGGCUAACUACGUGCCAGCCGCCGCAGUAA